UCCCUGGCAGUCCAGUGGUUAGGAUUUGGUGCUUUCACUGCUGGGGUUCAGGUUCGAUUCCUGGUUGGGGAA
rnacentral:tRNA from 1 species